UACGUAGGGUGCAAGCGUUGUCCGGAUUUACUGGGCGUAAAGAGCGCGCAGGCGGUCGUGCAAGUCGCGUGUGAAAGCCCCCGGCUCAACUGGGGAGGGUCACGCGAUACUGAUCGACUCGAAGGCAGGAGAGGGUAGUGGAAUUCCCGGUGUAGUGGUGAAAUGCGUAGAUAUCGGGAGGAACACCAGUGGCGAAGGCGACUACCUGGCCUGUUCUUGACGCUGAGGCGCGAAAGCUAGGGGAGCAAGCGGGG
rnacentral:rRNA from 1 species